GACGAACGCUGGCGGCGUGCUUAACACAUGCAAGUCGAACGGAAAGGCCCUGCUUUUGUGGGGUGCUCGAGUGGCGAACGGGUGAGUAACACGUGAGUAACCUGCCCUUGACUUUGGGAUAACUUCAGGAAACUGGGGCUAAUACCGGAUAGGAGCUCAUGCUGCAAGGUGGGGGUUGGAAAGUUUCGGCGGUUGGGGAUGGGCUCGCGGCUUAUCAGCUUGUUGGGGGGGUAGUGGCUUACCAAGGCUUUGACGGGUAGCCGGCCUGAGAGGGUGACCGGCCACAUUGGGACUGAGAUACGGCCCAGACUCCUACGGGAGGCAGCAGUGGGGAAUAUUGCAGAAUGGGCGGAAGCCUGAUGCAGCAACGCCGCGUGCGGGAUGACGGCCUUCGGGUUGUAAACCGCUUUCGCCUGUGACGAAGCGUGAGUGACGGUAAUGGGUAAAGAAGCACCGGCUAACUACGUG
rnacentral:rRNA from 1 species